rnacentral:rRNA from 1 species
GACGAACGCUGGCGGCGUGCUUAACACAUGCAAGUCGAACGCUGAAGCUCAGCUUGCUGGGUGGAUGAGUGGCGAACGGGUGAGUAACACGUGAGUAACCUGCCCUCUUCUUUGGGAUAACGCCCGGAAACGGGUGCUAAUACUGGAUAUUCACUGAUUCUCGCAUGGGGGUUGGUGGAAAGGUUUUUUCUGGUGGGGGAUGGGCUCGCGGCCUAUCAGCUUGUUGGUGGGGUGGUGGCCUACCAAGGCUUUGACGGGUAGCCGGCCUGAGAGGGUGACCGGUCACAUUGGGACUGAGAUACGGCCCAGACUCCUACGGGAGGCAGCAGUGGGGAAUAUUGCACAAUGGGCGAAAGCCUGAUGCAGCGACGCCGCGUGAGGGAUGGAGGCCUUCGGGUUGUAAACCUCUUUCGCUCAUGGUCAAGCCGCAGCUUUGGGUUGUGGUGAGGGUAGUGGGUAAAGAAGCGCCGGCUAACUACGUG